CCCUUAGAUGUUCUGGGCUGCACGCGCGCUACACUGAUGCGCUCAACGAGUUUUAACCUUGCCUGGAAAGGUUGGGUAAUCUUUUUAAAACGCAUCGUGAUGGGGAUAGAUUAUUGCAAUUAUUAAUCUUCAACGAGGAAUUCCUAGUAAGCGCGAGUCAUCAGCUCGUGCUGAUUACGUCCCUGCCCUUUGUACACACCGCCCGUCGCUCCUACCGAUUGAGUGGUCCGGUGAGGCUUUGGGAUCUGAGCGGAAAGAGCGUUUCGCUGUUUCUGCUCGGAAAACUCAGUCGAACCUUAUCAUUUAGAGGAAGGAGAAGUCGUAACA
rnacentral:rRNA from 1 species